GGCCGGAUGGUGGAGUGGUCUAACACGUGCGACUCAAGAUCAUCUUGAUCCUGUAAAAGGAUUUCGCAUCUCGCAAGAGGCCCGCGUUCGAAUCGCGGUUCGGCCA
rnacentral:tRNA from 1 species